CCAGCAGGCUCACCUGGAGUCCAAAGUCGGCAGCCUCAGUCGUGUAUUCGUAGACAGGUGAAGACCCCUGCGGCCGUGGUCGAAUGCCCUCAUCCGCAGGCCCUUCAGUCACCUGACGGGAGAGAAUCCAGUUAUUUUUGCCACUCGGUUCUCCCAGGGCCCAGGGAGAAUGGGGGCAGGGUAUGAGGAGGACACACUUCCUCCUGCUCUCACUUACAGAGUGGUCAUCUUCCGUUUCUGCACCUGGCUCCCCGGGCUGCAGCUGACGGCCGGACACUGCAGAGAGAGUGGCUGUCAGUGGAGACAAGCAGGCUGGGGGAGCAGAUCGGGGCCCGGGGGAGGGAGCCAGGACUGUAUGUACACUGUGGAGGUGUCAUAGUCCUUUCCUGGACACUGGAUCGGAGAGCAAACUCAGGGGCUGGGGGAAGAUCUAUAGCCAAUGGGCUGGAGAGGCUGAGGCAUCACGUCAGGUAGCAGUGAAUUGAGACUGGACUUAUUCCAAGUUGGAACAGAUUUAGUCCAAGAAAGUGACUAAACAAACACAAGGCGUUUGUUAUUGUAUAACCACACCCUGGGAGGAUCAGAAUCCAGAGCUGCCAGAAUAUAUUAUCUAAAAUGUCCAGCAGCCACCAAAAAAUUACAAGUUACGCGAAGAAACAAGAAUGUAUGGUCCAUACUGAGAAACAAAGCAGUGAAUGGAAAGUGUCUCUAAAUGUCUACUAAUGCUGGGUUUAAUACAGACUUCAAAGAAACUAUUAAAAGUUUGUUCAGGCCGGGCACGGUGGCUCAUGCCUGUAAUCCCAGGACUUUGGGAGGCUGAGGCGGGUGGAUCACCUGAGGUUGGGAGUUCGAGACCAGCCUCACCAACAUGGAGAAACCCCAUCUCUACUAAAAAUACAAAAUUAGCCAGGCAUGGUGGCACAUGCCUGUAAUCCCAGCUACUCAGGAGGCUGAGGUAGGAGAAUCACUUGAACCUGGGAGGCGGAGGUUGUGGUGAGCCGAGAUUGUGCCAUUGUACUCCAGCCUGGGCAACAAGAGUGAAACUCCGUCUCAAAAAGAAAAAAAAAAGUUUGUUCAAAACACAAAAACAAAUCAUGUUUAAAAAAUUAAUGGAAAAUAUGUUAACAAUGGCUCAAUGAAGAGAGAAUCUCAUAAAGAAAUAAAACUUAUUUUUUAAAAGCAAGCAAAAAUUCUGGAGUUGAAAAUUUACUACUGGGGUUCACCAACAGAUUUGAGAUACCAGAAGAAUUAUCAACUUGUAGAUUAAUAUAAAUUAACCAAUUUGAAGAACGGGGUCAGGGGGAAGAUUGUUUGAAGAAAAACAGAGUCUCAGAGCAUUAACCAUAAGAUAAAGAGGCAGAAGAGAGAGUUGAAGAAGUGAUAGCUGAAAACAAUCUGCAGAAUCCAAGAAGCGCGACCAGACCUAAGCAGGAGAAACACAGAGAUCCACACCUAGAAACGUCACAGUCAAAAUGCUUAAGAGAAAGGGCCCCAUCACAUAAUAAGGGCACAAAAAUACAACUAACACCUGAAUCACAUCAAAACCAUAGAAGCUACGAGAAAGUGGAACAAUAUAUUCAAAGGGCUGAAAGAAACUGUUGUCAACGAAGAAUUUGAUAUCAAGCAACCUAUCCUUCCAAAAAUAAAGGCAAAAUAGUCUGGGCAUGCUGGCUUAUGCCUGUAAUCCCAGCACUUUGGGAGGCUGAAGUGCGAGGAUUGCUUGAGCCCAGAAACUCAAGGCCAGCCUGAGCAAUAUAGUAAGAUCUCAUCUCUACAAAAAAAAAUUUUUUUUUUGAGACGGAGUCUCACUCUGUCACCCAGGAUGAAGUGCAGUGGCACGAUCUUGGUUCACUGCAACCUCCGCCUCCCAGGUUCAAGUGAUUCUUCUGCCUCAGCCUCCCGAGUAGCUGGGACUACAGACACGCGCUACCAUGCCCAGCUAAUUUUCGUACGUUUAGGAGAGACGGGUUUCACCAUGUCGGCCAGGCUGGUCUUGAACUCUUGACCUCGUGAUCCGCCUGCCUCAGCCUCCCAAAGUGCUGGGAUUACAGGCAUGAGCUGCCGUGUCCGGCCCAAAAAUUUUUUUAAAAAUUAGCGGGGCAUGGUGGUGCAUGCCUAUAGUCCCAGCUGCUCAGGAGGCUGAGGCGGGAGGAUAGCUUAAGCCUGAGAGGUUGAGGCUGCAGUGAGCUGUGAUUGCACCACUUCACUCUAGUCAGGCAGAGCAAGACUCUGUCUCAAAAAAAUAAAAAUUUAAAUUUUAAAAAAAGGAAAAAUAAAGGCAUUCCCAAAUGAACAAAGACUUGGAAAUGUCAUUGCUAGCAAAUCUGCCUUACAAGAUAUACUAAAGAAGUCCUUCGGACUGAAAGGAACUAAUACCAGACACUAAGUCAAAUGCACAGGAAGAAAUGGAGAAUGCAGAAAAUGGUAACUAUGCAGGCAAAUAUAAAAGACUCUAUGAAUAUAUAUUGUCCUCAUUUUAUUUCUUAACUUCUUUCAAAAACAGAGGAUUGUAUAAAGCAAGGAUUGACAAACUUUUCUUGAAAAAGGCAAUAUAGUGGAUAUUUUAAGCUUACCAGGCCACAUGAUCUCUGUUGCAACUCUGCAGCCAUAGUACAAAAGCAGCUAUAGAUUAUAGAUAAUAUGUAAAUAAAUGAGCAAAACUGUUUCAACAAAACUUUACUUGUAAAACAAAAAGGAGGCUGGAUUUAGAAGACAGACAAUCAUCUGUGAACCACUUAUAUAAGGCAACAAUUCUAACACCAUAUUGUUAGGAUUAUAACAUAUAUAGAUACAGUAUAUACGUGACAAUAAUAGCAAAAAGGAGUAGGAGGAGAGGGUAUACAGUCAGCCUCUCAUAUCAGUGGUUUCUGUAUCCUGAGUUCAAUGAAACUUGGGUCAAAAAUGUUCUCCCAAAAAUUGCACCUGUACUGAACACGUGUAGACUUUUUUUCUUGUCAUUAUUCCCUAAACAAUAUAGUAUACCAGCUAUUUACAUAGCAUUUACAUUGCAUUAGGUAUUAUAAGUAAUCUAGAGAUGAUUUAAAGUAUAGGGGAGGGAAGAUGUAUGUAGGUUAUUUGCAAAUACUACAUUGCUUUAUAGAAGGGACUUGAGCAUCCAUGAAUUUUGGUAUCUGAGGGAGGUCCUAGAAGCAAUCCCUCAUGGAUGCUGAGGCACAAGUGUACCCUGGACCAAAGUUUCUAUAAUUUACCAGAAUUAAGCUGGCAUUGCCUGGGGCUGGGAGUGGGAAGGGAGAUUGAUUGUAAAUGGGGUUGAGAAAAUUUGGAAGGUGAUGGAGGUCUUCCAGAACUGGAUUGUGGUAA
rnacentral:lncRNA from 1 species